rnacentral:rRNA from 1 species
UACGGAGGGGGCUAGCGUUGUUCGGAAUUACUGGGCGUAAAGCGCACGUAGGCGGCUUUGUAAGUUAGAGGUGAAAGCCCGGGGCUCAACUCCGGAAUUGCCUUUAAGACUGCAUCGCUAGAAUUGUGGAGAGGUAAGUGGAAUUCCGGGUGUAGUGGUGAAAUGCGUAGAGAUCCGGAGGAACACCAGUGGCGAAGGCGACACGCUGGGCCGUACCUGACGCUAAAGCGCGACAGCAUGGGGAGCAAACGGG